AAGUCUGUUCAUCCAGAAGCCAUUUUGAAAACUGCAGCUGUAAUUAAAAGUGACUUCCUGUUCUUCAGCAGCCAUGUUGAGUGAUGUGAUUUCCCUCGGUUAUUUCUCUGAUUGUACAGUGGAUAUUCAGCUGGAUAAAACACAAACCAUGUCCGUCUUCAUUUCAGGCUGCAAAGCAACAAAAUGUGAUUAUUUUAAAGGGGGUGAUUUUUUUCUAUUCCCACUGUACCUCAAAUUUUAUUGAACUUUGAUGUUAAUAGUGAUGGUAGGAACUUGAACAAACUAAACCAAUUGCUUUGCAAAAUUAAUUCACUAUUUCAAACCAAUUGCAAAUAUUUUAUUGAAAGCACAAUCAUCAAAUCCAAUGCCAUUAAAUCUGAAGAGUCUGUAUGAUAUGUACGUGUUAUUUUAUUAAAUUGUAGGGCUUGUUUUGUUUGUUUUAUGUAGAGUUGGCUAAUUAUUUGCAAUUGUGUUGAAUCAUAGCAGUCGAUGAAGGUCUGACAAGUCAUUGUCUUCAACCAAAACGUGUUUUUAAUGGUCAUAACCAGUAAAAACUUUGAUUAUUAGUGUGUCUGUAUGAUGUCAUAUGUAUUCUUGCAACAUCUUAUUAGCCAUUCCUUCACAUUAUGGUCAUACACUCAAAUUGACCUCGAGUUUUCUGAGGUUCUCACAAGUGGAAGUUGUCAUAAUUUGGUAAAUUUGGAUAGCGGUGAACAGAAAUUACAACAAAUGUAAUUUUUAUGUUUCCUUUUGCCGCUUCACAGAAGAAAAACCCACAAUAUGACUUUCCAAAAGAGAACAUUUUGAAAAUGAUCGAAAGAUUGGUCAGAAGAGAGAAAGAUGUCAAAUUUGCUGUCACUCCCUCAUCUGUUUAUAUUCAUGCACCAUUUUUUCUGUCAUUUAAUAUAUAGUUUUAUAAAUGCACAUUACAUUUUUUAAACAGCAAUUACAACAACAAACCUAACAAUGUUAAUAACUUCAGUAAUGAGCCAUCACAAUGUAUGAAAGAGUUUCAUUGUAGAAACUCGCACAGUGUGCGGCACGCUUUAGUGAAGGAUUUAUGCUAAAUUACUCCGUUCUUUUGUGGCUGAUUUUGAAAGCGUUUUAAAUGGAAUCACUGCUGUUAAUUUGCAUGCUGUGAUUGUUUAUUUCAAGCUGGUGAUGGAUAUGACGUUUAUUUUUGCAACUGUUUGAUAAUUUCACCUCAUUUGGGCUGAUUGUGCUGCUCUGUAGGAGAAGGAAACUCGAGACAAAUCCCAUACACGUGUGUUCUUUCCGUCAGUGUUUUGCUUUUCCCAGAUUCAUACUCUUCAUUGUUCUCUGCGCAUACCGUUGUUCUGUGAACGAGGGUGGAUCUGAGAAAUUUGCACAUGGAAGAUGAGAUGUUGAUGGGUUUAGUUCUCAAAACACUAUACAUCUGAUAGUUUAGUUAUUGGGGAAGAUAAAGUGCUUCUGCUGCAGGCUUGUGUGAGUUUCUGCUGCUGAUCUCACUCAGCUGAAGUGGAGUUGGAUUUCACAAUACAGCUUCCUGUUCUACAUGCAGAGUUUUGGUUUGUUUCAUAAGUCUAACGCGCUGGGUGAAAUUUAAGUGGCUCUCUUUAAUGCAGACUCAAUAUGUCAUUUAGUUUUUAACCCUGUGUACUGUACUUCUGUGGGGUUUAUCCAUUAGGCAGUGGCCGGUGAUUGGAUUUGAGGAGUUGAAAAAUCCGAAAGUCGUAAUCAAAAGUAAAGGGAAAGACACCUGGCGAGCGACAGACGGACCGUCAGAGAGUGCUCUGGGUGGACAUUAAUGUGGAGUUCAUCCUGAUACAGCCGAGGUCCUGGAUGCGUCCAUCAAAUAUCACAGAAGAGCCAAAGCUGAAGACCUCACCAGUGAAUCCAGGAGCUCCAAAUGGAGAGAGAAGGAGAGAGAGAGUACAAUGUGAGAAAGGAGGGAGGGGAAGGACGGACUGUACAAGCGGGAUCAUCUUACACUGUUUGAGCUAAUAAAUCAGACACACCGUUGUGGAUCGAAACCCUGAUGCUCACCACAGCCCUCUACUUUUCUUCAGUGGCUCUGAUGGUCAUUUUUGCUAGUUUAACAUUCUUUAAUGUUAUGCUUCAUCUGGAGAUUAAAAUGUGUGAUUUUUUUUUUUUUUUUUUUUUUUAAAGAUAUAUUAUAACUUUUAUAGGUCAGCGUAUUGAAUUCUUGGUUCUUUAAACCGUCAAAACAGAUGGUUUUAUAAAGAACCAGACACUCUUAAGCUCUUUGUGGACCUUUAACCUUUAUUUUAAGUAGUGUACAGUGAGCUGUGGCUGCAGUGAUUGUGUUAUCAAAGUGUUUUGCUCUUUUCUUGGCACUGUGCACACGUGAGAGUCAUAGCUCAUGACCUUUGACCUCUGCCUGCUGUGGUGUUCACCUCACAGGUCACCUGCAGAUGGAGGUCGUGUGGAACGUGCCUUUGCAGUGAUUAUCUCGCUGUUAAUAGUGCACUUAAAUGUUUUGGCAGUUUGCCGCCUGUGCUGAAAAUCAGUUCACGUCUCGACAGCUGUGCUGAGGACAGUUGAACUCAACUCAAUGAGACAUGAACGAGUUUAAAAGCCAUCAAGAAGAUAAAAUCGUGUUAAAUAGCAUCUGUUUCCAUUAAGUCAUUUAUUGUGUUUAAGAUAUGUUCUGAGUUAUUAAAUAAACUUAGUUUUACAUUUACUGAAGAUACAGUGAGUGUCUGUCCAUGCAAAACUUACCACCGUGACAUUGUGGGUGUAAGGGGAGAUUUCCAGUUUGUUGCUGUACUGUUGAUAAAAUGUUCAGAGUAGUUAUUAGUGAAUUUCUAUACCAUUGCUUUUUAUGUUUUGGAUGGCUGCAUACUAACCCAUGUCGAAAUGUCUGAUAUUCUCAUUUUUAUGGCUCCCUCUUUCAGUGUUUAUUAUGGAAUUAAUGGUCUUAAACUUAAUAGCACAUCUUCCCUCCUCAAGCUGAGGAGGAUUUGAGGUUUCAUUCAUGCUAUGAAUUUAAUGUACCUUAAAGGGAUAGUUCACCCAAAAAUUAU